GAUGAACGCUGGCGGCGUGCCUAAUACAUGCAAGUCGAGCGAACAGACGAGGAGCUUGCUUCUCUGACGUUAGCGGCGGACGGGUGAGUAACACGUGGAUAACCUACCUAUAAGACUGGGAUAACGUCGGGAAACCGGAGCUAAUACCGGAUAAUAUAUUGAACCGCAUGGUUCAAUAGUGAAAGACGGUUUUGCUGUCACUUAUAGAUGGAUCCGCGCCGCAUUAGCUAGUUGGUAAGGUAACGGCUUACCAAGGCAACGAUGCGUAGCCGACCUGAGAGGGUGAUCGGCCACACUGGAACUGAGACACGGUCCAGACUCCUACGGGAGGCAGCAGUAGGGAAUCUUCCGCAAUGGGCGAAAGCUUGACGGAGCAACGCCGCGUGAGUGAUGAAGGUCUUCGGAUCGUAAAACUCUGUUAUUAGGGAAGAACAAAUGUGUAAGUAACUAUGCACGUCUUGACGGUACCUAAUCAGAAAGCCACGGCUAACUACGUG
rnacentral:rRNA from 1 species